UACGGAGGGUGCAAGCGUUGUCCGGAUUUAUUGGGUUUAAAGGGUGCGUAGGCGGCCCGUUAAGUCAGUGGUGAAAGCCUCCAGCUCAACUGGAGAACUGCCAUUGAUACUGACGGGCUUGAGUAUAGACGAGGUUGGCGGAAUUGAUUGUGUAGCGGUGAAAUGCAUAGAUACAAUCAAGAACUCCGAUUGCGUAGGCAGCUAACUAGGCUGUAACUGACGCUGAGGCACGAAAGCGUGGGGAGCGAACAGG
rnacentral:rRNA from 1 species